GUCGUAAACCGCUGUCAGGGCUUCGGAAACCCGUAGAGGUUAAUAGCCUCUGCGCUGACCAGGGCCCAAAAGGAAGCACAGCCUAAUCUCGCGCCAGCAGCCGCGGUAAUACGAGAUGUGCGAGCGUUGUUCGGAAUUACUGGGCAUAAAGGGUGCGCCAGGCGGCCAUGUAAGUCAGGUGUGAAAUCCCUCGGCUCAACCGGGGAAUUGCAUCUGAUACUGCAUGGCUUGAGAACGAAAGGGGCAANCGGAAUUCCAGGUGUACCGGUGGAAUGCGUAGAUAUCUGGGAGAACGCCAAUGGCGAAGGCAGCUUGCUGGGUCGUUUCUGACGCUCAUGCACGAAAGCUAGGGGAGCAAACAGGAUUAGAUACCCUGGUAGUCCUAGCUGUAAACGAUGGGUACUAGGUUCCGGGAUUCCUGAUGAUUUCGGAGCCGCAGUUAAUGCGUUAAGUACCCCGCCUGGGGAGUAUGGUCGCAAGGCUAAAACUCAAAGGAAUUGACGGGGGCUCACACAAGCGGUGGAGCAUGUUGUUCAAUUCGAAGCAACGCGAAGAACCUUACCUGGGUUUGACAUGCAGGAAGUAGAACCCUGAAAGGGGAACCACCGGUAUCCAAUCCGGAACCUGCACAGGUGCUGCAUGGCUGUCGUCAGCUCGUGUCGUGAGACGUUGGGUUAAGUCCCGUAACGAGCGAAACCCUUGUCGUCUGUUGCUACCAGGUAAUGCUGGGCACUCUGACGGGACUGCCGGUGUUAAACCGGAGGAAGGUGGGGACGACGUCAAGUCAUCAUGGUCCUUACAUCCAGGGCUACAAACGUGCUACAAUGGCGAGUACAGAGAGACGCGAGACCGCGAGGUGGAGCAAAUCUUCAAAGCUCGCCCCAGUUCGGAUUGGAGGCUGCAAUUCGCCUCCAUGAAGUUGGAAUCGCUAGUAAUCGCGGAUCAGCAACGCCGCGGUGAUAUGUUCCUGAGCAUUGUACACACCGCCCGUCAAGCCACCCAAGCUGGAAGCACCCGAAGUC
rnacentral:rRNA from 1 species